ensembl:lncRNA
CUCCUCUCUAAUACAGCUGUACUAGACUUGUUCUCCCUCCUCCUCUCUAAUGUAGCUCUACUAGACUGGUUGUCCCUCCUCCUCUAUUAUGUUGCUAUACUAGACUGGUUCUCCCUCCUCCCUCCUCUCUAAUGUAGCUCUACUAGACUGGUUCUCCCUGCUCCUCUUUAAUUUAGCUAUGGUAGACUGGUUCUCCCUCCUCCUCCUCCUCUCUAAUGUAGCUGUACUAGACUGGUUAUCUCUCCUCCUCCUCUCUAAUGUAGCUGUACUGGAUCGGUUCUCCCUCCUCCUCUCUAAUGUGUCUAUAAUAGACUGGUUCUCGCUCGUCCUCCUCUUUAAUGUAGCUGUACUAUACAGGUUCUCCCUCCUCCUCUCUAAUGUAUCUAUACUAGACUGGUUUUCCCUCCUCCUCUCUAAUGUAGCUAUAGUAGACUGGUUCUCCCUCCUCCUCUCUUAUGUUGCUAUACUAGACUUGUUCUCCCUCCUCCUCUCUAAUGUAUCUAUACUAGACUGGUUUUCCCUCCUCCUCCUCUAUUAUGUAGCUGUACUAGACUGGUUCUCCCUCCUCCUCCUCUCUAAUGUAGCUGUACUAGACUGGUUCUCCCUACUCCUCCUCUCUAAUGUAGCUAUACUAGACUGGUUCUCCCUCCUCCUCCUCUCUAAUGUAGCUAUACUAUACUGGUU